AAUAGAUACCCCGGUAGUCCACGCCGUAAACGAUGAAUACUAGGUGUAGGAGGGUCCAACCUUCUGUGCCGUCGUUAACACAUUAAGUAUUCCGCCUGGGGAGUACGGUCGCAAGAUUAAAACUCAAAGGAAUUGACGGGGGGCCCGCACAAGCAGCGGAGCAUGUGGUUUAAUUCGAAGCAACGCGAAGAACCUUACCUAGACUUGACAUCUCCUGAAUUACCCGUAAUGGGGAAGCUCUUCGGAGCAGGAAGACAGGUGGUGCAUGGUUGUCGUCAGCUCGUGUCGUGAGAUGUUGGGUUAAGUCCCGCAACGAGCGCAACCCUUAUUGUUAGUUGCUACCAUUAAGUUGAGCACUCUAGCGAGACUGCCGGGGUUAACUCGGAGGAAGGUGGGGAUGACGUCAAAUCAUCAUGCCCCUUAUGUCUAGGGCUGCACACGUGCUACAAUGGCGAGUACAACAAGAAGCUAAGCCGCAAGGUGGAGCAAAACUGUAAAACUCGUCCCAGUUCGGAUUGUAGGCUGAAACCUCGCCUACA
rnacentral:rRNA from 1 species